UUGUCAUAGAAUCUGGGGGGCUCAUUUUUCCGGCCAAUCACUUUUAGAGAAAUGAGCGCAUUGCAGCAGAAUGCGCUGACGUCAGAGACCACCCCUUCUGCGCCUCCAUAUAAACCCCACCCAGCCAGCCCCUAGCGCAGACGGCGGAGAGCAGAGAGGGAGCGCGCCUUGGCUCGCUGGCCUUGGCGGCGGCUCCUCAGGAGAGCUGGGGCGCCCACGAGAGGAUCCCUCACCCGGGUCUCUCCUCAGGGAUGACAUCAUCCGUCCACCUCCUUGUCUUCAAGGACCACCUCCUCUCCAUGCUGAGCUGCUGCCAAGGGGCCUGCUGCCCAUCUACACCUCACGAGGGCACUAGGAGCACGGUUUCCUGGAUCCCACCAACAUACAAAGCAGCCACUCACUGACCCCCAGGACCAGGAUGGCAAAGGAUGAAGAGGACCGGAACUGACCAGCCAGCUGUCCCUCUUACCUAAAGACUUAAACCAAUGCCCUAGUGAGGGGGCAUUGGGCAUUAAGCCCUGACCUUUGCUAUGCUCAUACUUUGACUCUAUGAGUACUUUCCUAUAAGUCUUUGCUUGUGUUCACCUGCUAGCAAACUGGAGUGUUUCCCUCCCCAAGGGGGUGUCAGUCUUUGUCGACUGACUCUGUCAUCACCCUUAUGAUGUCCUGAAUGGAAGGAUCCCUUUGGGAAAUUCUCAGGAGGGGGACCUGGGCCAAGGGCUUGGCCAGCAUCCUGCUGGCAACUCCAAGGCCCUGGGUGGGCUUCUGGAAUGAGCAUGCUACUGAAUCACCAAAGGCACGCCCGACCUCUCUGAAGAUCUUCCUAUCCUUUUCUGGGGGAAUGGGGUCGAUGAGAGCAACCUCCUAGGGUUGUUGUGAGAAUUAAAUGAGAUAAAAGAGGCCUCAGGCAGGAUCUGGCAUAGAGGAGGUGAUCAGCAAAUGUUUGUUGAAAAGGUUUGACAGGUCAGUCCCUUCCCACCCCUCUUGCUUGUCUUACUUGUCUUAUUUAUUCUCCAACAGCACUCCAGGCAGCCCUUGUCCACGGGCUCUCCUUGCAUCAGCCAAGCUUCUUGAAAGGCCUGUCUACACUUGCUGUCUUCCUUCCUCACCUCCAAUUUCCUCUUCAACCCACUGCUUCCUGACUCGCUCUACUCCGUGGAAGCACGCUCACAAAGGUAAAGACUUUUCUGUGGCUUAAUCCUUGUCAUGUUUUCGGCUCAUGGACACAAGGACACAUUUUCAUGCCUUCUCUCACAGGGCUCUGCGUCUCCGGUUCACUUCUGUGUCUUUACACUCCCUUCACAGAGACACUUGCUCCCCCUUCUCUCGUUCUUAGCAUCCCCUAGGAACUUGCACACCCAGGUCUCUCGACUUCUGGACCUGCUUCUUACCAUGCCGUCUUAAGCAGUCAGGAGUCGCUGCCUGGGUUCGAGUCCUAGUUAAAUUACUUAGUGCUGAGACCUUGGGGUAGGUAAACUUUUCCAAGCCAGGUUUAUCUCAGUUUCAAAAUAGGGUUAAUCGUCUUUAUCUGGCAGGUCAGGUGGGAUGUCUCACAGGUAAGCACCAGAUGCCAUUUGAAAGGCUUGAAGCAAAGUCAAUAAAGCAUUCAUGGGAAAAUACAACUGGAGGCACCACUAGAUUUUCGUAUACAUUAGGUUCCCACGGGGAGGACCGAAGAGAGAAGAAAGAAGUGGAAAGGGAGGAGCGUGCAGGAGAGACAGGAGAAGAGAAUAACUAAACAAAGACAUUAAAGACAAAAAAAAAGUAGGAAAGGGAGACUUAGAAAAUAUUAAAAGCCACCAAAAACACAUCCAAAGACGGUUUCCCCUUACGUUAGUUGGGCUAAAAGAAAGCAAAUGGGAAGAAGGUUUUAAAUUGAUUAUCCCAGUGACAAAUCCCAGGAAGCUUUCACAUCAAAUCACCCUAUUCUGGGUUUUUAACUCCUUCCAUCGAGUUUAACCUCUUUACCUCCCACAUCCUGGUAAACCCUGCCCCCUCCCUACCGCCCCCUUUGCUGGUGAUUAAAUCCUGAAGGUACACGAAGUAUUUCAGUGAAUGAAUGGCUAACAGAAAAGGGCCUCCCCUCCCCCUUACCCUGGCGGUGUUUUUCAGUUUUAUUCCACUUUCCGCCCUUUUCCCUUAAUGAACACAGGGCUAAUCUCGGGCCUUGUCGAAGGAAGAGGCUGCAGACGUUAAUGAGGUUAGCUGCUGGAUUCCAGUAUUCGUCGCAUAAGGAUCCUUCUUUGUCUGCGAAGGAAAAACACACUGAUUAUCAUAAUGAGGUGAACUGGCCACCGCCGGGCCGGGGCGAUGUGGCUUCUUAAGCCACACUUCUAAUUUUGGUGAUGGAGCCGACAUUUCUUUGGCUUCUCAUUUAAGUCUUUGCCUCUGUCCCAGUGCGAAGUCCAUUCAGCGGGGUUGAAAGUUGCAGGCAGCUUUGGGAAGGGGGGCGUCGGACAGGGUUGCAUUGUAGAAAGUGGCUUUGUUCGAUCCUUCGCACAGAUGCAAAUGGCCAGAGCAUUCAUUCCCUUUCUUCAAGAGCUGAGGACUGGGGGGGCCACUGGUGAUCAGUUCCCAACUCUAGCUCUCCUCUGACUCAUCUCAGGACCCAUUGAGGACAUCCAAAACUCACUCAAGAUCACCAAGUGGUAGGAAAGUACUAACUCCUGGGCAUAGCCCUAGGGGAGUGACUACAAUGUGAAUACUCAUGGAAUGCCUAGCCAGGUGAAGAAGUGAAUGCAUGUUGGCAUCCCAGAGGGACCCCCCUUAAGAGGGCAUAGUUUGGGGUUCAGAUUUGACUCCAGCAUACUGUUGAAAUUGGGCACAGGGGGCUAGUGAUUAGUCAGGAUCAAUCAGUGGAGAGGAGAUUAAAACUCACAUCUGGGAGUCCGGAAUCAGAACUUGUAGUUCUUUUUUUUGAAAUGGAGUCUCGCUCUGUCGCCCAGGCUGGAGUGCAGUGGCGUGAUCUCGGCUCACUGCAACCUCUGCCUUCCGGGUUCAAGCAAUUCUCCCACCUCAGCCUCCUGAGUAGCUGGGAUUACAGGCGCCCACCACCACAGCCGGCUACUUUUUGUAUUUUUAGGAGAGACGGGGUUUCACCAUGUUGGUCAGGCUGGUCUUGAACUCCUGACCUCAUGAUCCACCUGCCUUAGCCUCCCAAAGUGCUGGGAUUACAGGCGUGAGCCACCAUGCCCAGCCCUAUAGUAGUUCUUCUUUUGCCCCUUAAUAUCUUCACCCACAUGUCCUGUACCCUGCCUGAACCCUCCUCCUCUUUUUGUUCUGAUCUUUGAGCUCCCUAGAGCCCAUAAUUCUUUAGAGCAGGUAUGUCCCGAGUCUGAAACAUGCCCUUAUUUGUCCCAAGCUCUGGACAUUUCUCACCCCAAGGCGGAUCAAUCAUGAUUAAAUCACUCCAAUUAAACUUUAGGCUCCAGUCAGACCUUCAGCCAAAUGGAAAAAAAAACUAGGGGAUAAGGGAGGUAGUUGGAGCAAGAAAAUGUUAUUAGUUGAAACCUUACGGGACCUUCCUCCCUUAGUGAGUCUGUUGGCUAAAGGUUCUCUGGCUUCGUGAAUUAGAAUCGGAUACUGUUUCCAAGUUAGCAAAACCAACUCUACCCCAGCACCCCACGAGGAAGAAUGUGGAAGGAUCUCCCAUUGGCCGGUUGGGGCAAAAGCCUGAGGCAAUCUUUCAUCCCCUUUUGCCAAGGCGAGACUUUCCCAGUGACGGUGAUGUAGUUGGCCACUCUGACUAUGGGUGGACUCGGGUGUAGACCUCUGAAGCUGAGAUCACACGAAAACCUGGCCUCCCCGCCAUGUAGCUGUUGGAGAGUAGAAAAAUAGAGCACGCCUGAUGUUUCUAAAUGAGAAGACUUUCAAUAGUAAUGAAGAAUCCAUGGCACUCUCCUCACCCUCAAACACAUGGCAGUCAUUCACAUACAGGCCCCAAAGCCACUGUUAGUGCUGCAGUAGCUCCUGUGGACAUUGGAAAGCCCGGAGAGGGCGUGGAAGAAAUCAGCUGGCCCCCGGCAGGUUCUCUGGGGUUUUGUGCCCAAGGCUCCUGGAGCCCUAAAAACUUUCAAAAGUUAACUCCCCACGUCCCCAUCCUGCUUGGGUUUCUGCUUUAACCUGGCUCCUUGAGUCCCUGCUUUUUCUGCUUCUGUUGCCUUCUUCCUCGUCUUCCUCUCUCUCAAUAUCUCCCUCUCUUUGUCCCUCCCCAGUUCCUGACCUGGCCAUCCCGGGGUGCCCUUGACCAGCCCCGUGUCUCCUCAGGGUGUCCCAGCACCAGCCUGGCACAGAGUGGGGCUCAGUUAGAGUAUGUGGGAUGUUGGUUUCGCCAGGUGAGUGAAUGAAAGGACUCGACCACCACAGCUGAGCCACUAGCUGGGCCAUGCGAAGAGUUCUAGGUGCAAAGGCUGGAGGGUGGAAUUCAUUUUUGAGAGGUGUGUGAGCAGCUUCCGACCCCUGCCCCAUUUGAACGGGGGCCUUGCUGGUCGCGUCCCUGCAUUCACCCGCGCGGCCAUCCCGUCAUCCAACAGUUGAUCCUAACUGAGCACGCCCACGGCCCUGGUCUGGCCUGGGCACCGGCCACCGUAGCCCAUCCCUUGAUGGCCUCUGUGUCCCCAGGAGGGCGGGCCGGGGGGUUGCCCAGGGGCUGGAGCAGUGGACUGUGGCUCCAUAGAGGUAGGCCGGAGGGUGUGAGGGCAGAUUCAAGCUAUCCCCAGGGCUCUGCUCUGGUCGGAGCCAGCCCCUUCUCCCUCUCUGCCUUCCCCGCCCCAUUCCUGAUGCUGAACUGUUCUGGACCCCUGGCCCUGAGUCUCUCAGGACCAAAGUGGGCACGGGAACAGCUGUAGUGUGUGCCCCCCCGGGCUUUGGCCACAGGUCUCCCUCUCGAGGUGUGGUUGUGACUGCGACCCUUCCCUUGCCGUGAUGCCUUCCUCCCCCGGGGCUUGGUCCAGCUCCUUCACUCUCUAGCAGCUGCUGGGGCCCACCUCCCAUGCCGAGGACCAGCAGGGGAAACCUCCAGGGAGCAUCUGCAGGCUCUGCUUCUGCCCGGCUGCUGGCUUGCUCUCCCUGGUGGCUCUCCAGCGGCCAGCUUCCUCACCCACCCGGCACUCCGCUUUGCUCUGUCUCCUGAGGUGGGCCUGACCAACCUCCCCUUCUCUGCCUCAGUCCCUGGGCUCCAGGGCUCAGCUCCACAGCCCUCUGCCUAGCAGGCUGGUUCUCCCUGCCAAGCCCAUACCUGUGGUCACCUGGCCCUCCUGUGGUCUGAGUACCACUCCCCUGCCCCAGGAGCCACUCCCACUCCAGCUGCCUGUUUCCAGCAGGUUCCCAGUGCCCCCGACAAGCCCCUGCUGGUGUCUCCAUCUCCUGCCAAGCAUCCUCCAGUGCCUCCUCCUGUGGGCCUGGCCUCAGGGCUAUGGACAGACUCCUGUCCCAUCCCAGAGACCCCUCGUGAUCGUGCCCUGGCACGUGGGCCGUGGCCCGGCUGGGUCGGCUGAAGAACUGCGGAUGGAAGCUGCGGAAGAGGCCCUGAUGGGGCCCACCAUCCCGGACCCAAGUCUUCUUCCUGGCGGGCCUCUCGUCUCCUUCCUGGUUUGGGCGGAAGCCAUCACCUGGAUGCCUACGUGGGAAGGGACCUCGAAUGUGGGACCCCAGCCCCUCUCCAGCUCGAAAUCCCUCCACAGCCACGGGGACACCCUGCACCUAUUCCCACGGGACAGGCUGGACCCAGAGACUCUGGACCCGGGGCCUCCCCUUGAGUAGAGACCCGCCCUCUGACUGAUGGACGCCGCUGACCUGGGGUCAGACCCGUGGGCUGGACCCCUGCCCACCCCGCAGGAACCCUGAGGCCUAGGGGAGCUGUUGAGCCUUCAGUGUCUGCAUGUGGGAAGUGGGCUCCUUCACCUACCUCACAGGGCUGUUGUGAGGGGCGCUGUGAUGCGGUUCCAAAGCACAGGGCUUGGCGCACCCCACUGUGCUCUCAAUAAAUGUGUUUCCUGUCUUAACAAAAACU
rnacentral:lncRNA from 1 species